AGAGUUGAUUCAUUGGAAAAGACUCUGAUGCUGGGAGGGAUUGGGGGCAGGAGGAGCAGGGGACGACAGAGGAUGAGAUGGCUGGAUGGCAUCACUGACUCGAUGGAUGUGAGUCUGAGUGAACUCCGGGAGUGGGUGAUGGACAGGGAGGCCUGGCGUGCUGCAAGUCAUGGGGUCACAAAGAGUCGGACACGACUGAGUGACUGAACUGAACUGAACUGAAAGGUAAUCAUGUAAUUUUAAAAGACAGUAUAAAUGCAUAGUUCUUUUCCUAUCUUUACUUAACUGAUCCAGGAGCAAUUAUAAAAUAAUAUAUGUACAUAGUUGUAUUGUUGGACUUAUAACACAUAGAAAUGCAACAUAUUUGCCAAUAGCUGAACAAAGGUGGGUGGGAGCAAAGCUGUACUGGUGUAAAGAAGAGACACCAGAUGGUAACUUGGAUACACGGGAACAAGUGAAGAGAACUGGAAAUGGGACAGAUUUGCUUGUUCAUUUUGCUGAAGGAUCAUGUUUGGAUCAUUUGAUGGAUCAGCAUAUGUACAGCAGAAUUUAAGACUACAGAAUUCCUACUUUUGAGAGUUGCAACAUCGACAAUUACUAAGAGGAAGACUGUGAUACAAUUGUGAAGCAAGCAGUUACUUCUAAGGAGCUUCUGUUCUUCAAAUUAAACAUCACUGUAUCCUGCUGUUUCUCAAGCCUCUUCUUCAUCAUCUUUCUCACUCCCAUGAGUGCUACCAGGUCAUCUACUUACCUCUAAAGGUGUACUCUGACUCAGUGUUUGGGACAAGUAGCCUUGCCUAGCACAAUGCCAGGAGAUGCCAGU
ensembl:lncRNA